GCCGCGUGAGUGAAGGAGGCCUUCGGGUUGUAAAGCUCUUUCGGCCGGGAAGAAAUCGUGUUCUCUAACAUAGGGCAUGGAUGACGGUACCGGACUAAGAAGCACCGGCUAACUACGUGCCAGCAGCCGCGGUAAUACGUAGGGUGCGAGCGUUAAUCGGAAUUACUGGGCGUAAAGCGUGCGCAGGCGGUUUUGUAAGACAGAUGUGAAAUCCCCGGGCUUAACCUGGGAACUGCGUUUGUGACUGCAAGGCUAGAGUACGGCAGAGGGGGGUGGAAUUCCUGGUGUAGCAGUGAAAUGCGUAGAUAUCAGGAGGAACACCGAUGGCGAAGGCAGCCCCCUGGGCCUGUACUGACGCUCAUGCACGAAAGCGUGGGGAGCAAACAGGAUUAGAUACCCUGGUAGUCCACGCCCUAAACGAUGUCGACUAGUCGUUCGGAGCAGCAAUGCACUGAGUGACGCAGCUAACGCGUGAAGUCGACCGCCUGGGGAGUACGGCCGCAAGGUUAAAACUCAAAGGAAUU
rnacentral:rRNA from 1 species